rnacentral:rRNA from 1 species
GCCCCCUACGGACGCAGCAGUGGGGAAUAUUGCGCAAUGGGCGAAAGCCUGACGCAGCGACGCCGCGUGAGGGAUGAAGGUCUUCGGAUCGUAAACCUCUGUCAGCAGGGAAGAACGGUCACUGUGCUAAUCAGCAGUGAAUUGACGGUACCUGCAAAGGAAGCACCGGCUAACUCCGUGCCAGCAGCCGCGGUAAUACGGAGGGUGCGAGCGUUAAUCGGAAUUACUGGGCGUAAAGCGCUCGUAGGCGGUAUGUCCAGUCAAGGGUGAAAUCCCCGCGCUCAACGUGGGAACUGCCUUUGAAA